UCUCUGGCUUGAUGGGUUGUGCAAAAGCAUCAUUGAAACCGAAGAGGAAGCUUGCAGGCAGGAGUGACACCCCUGGCGAGGUUGCAAAUAAGAAGGCAAAUGUGCCUGGAAUUUUGGGGUUGGUGGGGCAGCUCCCCAUUUGCCCUGUAGGGCAGGUCUGUAAGUGGAGAACGGGGCCCCCUGACAUCUGAAGACCUCUUUCCUUCUGUUUUGCAUUCUCACUCUAAAGCGCACCAUUAAUCUGGCUUUCAAGCUGGCAACGCCAGGCAGGUAUUUUAAUUAAAAUAUAUUUUUAAAGGCUAAUAGUGGCUUAUGUUAUCUAUUAUGCUGAUGGAUUACGAUGAUCCUGUCGCGGGGAGCAGGCUCCUUAAAGCCGACGACGGCUGCCUCCUUAUUUUCUACGUAUCGCUUCCCGAGCGGAAUCUGUGAUACUUUUGCAGAAGCACAAAGAGCUCACCGACGACGACGGACGCAUGAGGGGGAGAAGGGAAAUUGAGUCUGGGCCAGCUCCCUAGCAGAAGCGACCGUGGUCUGGCCUUCAAAGUGGGCCAUAAUGUAUGCCACAUGAAAAAUAGCACUUAGCCAGCAAAAUCAUGACUCGCUUCUUAAUGAGACGGGAGGAAUUCUCUUUGUUCGGCCUGGUUUUCUUCGUGAGGCCGCUCUUCUCGCUGCCUGGCAGUUCACCAGCCCUGCUCACGAGGAAUACAACGCAUGGAAGUAACCAAAGGAGUAAUAGUACAAUGGUACCUCUGGUUGCGUACUUAAUUCAUUCUGGAGGUCCGUUCUUAACCUGAAACUGUUCUUAACCUGAAGCACCACUUUAGCUAAUGGGGCCUCCCGCUGCUGCCGCGCAAUUUCUGUUCUCAUCCUGAAGCAAAGUUCUUAACCUGAGGUAUUAUUUCUCGGUUAGCGGAGUCUGUAACCUGAAGCGUAUGUAACCCGAGGUACCAGUGUACGUGGAACAGCAACGGAGCAAGAGCGUGUGGGCACACCUGUGGAAAGAGCUCGCCCUCGCAGCCUCUGCCUUUCCCCACCCUUCCCUCUAUCCUCUUAUCUCUUCCCUACCCUGCUGACACACACACACAUCACAACAUAAUACAGUGGUACCUCGGGUUAAGUACUUAAUUCGUUCCAGAGGUCCGUUCUUAACCUGAAACUGUUCUUAACCUGAAGCACCACUUUAGCUAAUGGGGCCUCCUGCUGCCGCAGCGCCGCCAGAGCACGAUUUCUGUUCUCAUCCUGAAGCAAAGUUCUUAACCCGAGGUAAUAUUUCCGGGUUAGCAGAGUCUGUAACCUGAAGCGUAUGUAACCUGAAGCGUAUGUAACCCGAGGUACCACUGUACGAGCCCUCUGGAUCAGGCCAAUGGCCCCUCUGGUCCAGCAACCUGUUCUCACACUGUCCAACCAGAUCCCUGUGGGAAACCCGCAAGCAGGAUUCGAGCACAAGAGCCCUCUGCCCUCCCAUGGAAGCAGGGCGUAGCCAUUGUGGCUAGUUGCCCUCGAUAGCCCUCUCCUGCCCGAAUUUGUCCAGUCAUCUUUUAAAGUCAUCUAGGUUUGGUGGCCAUCUCUGCCUCUCCUGUAGGAGGGAGUUCCAUAGUUCAACUAGGCGCUGCACAAAGAAGUCCUUGCAUUUAUCUGCCCCGAAUCAUCUAACAUUCAGCUUCAUUGGAUGUCCAUGAAUGUUCCGAGACAGGGAGAAAAAACAUUCUUCUGUCAACUUUCUCCAUGUCGUGCAUAAUUUUGCCUUCCUGCAUUGUCAACACAUUUUAAACUGUAAGCUCCUGCAGGCAAAGCCUUGCCUUCCUGUUUGUGUCAUCCUGCAGAGAACAAUAUGAAUUGGUGGCUCUAUCCAAAUCAAGUGGGAGGCUUUGCUCAGAGGGUGGGGUGGGGCCGGGCCCUACUAUUAGGCAGAGUGAGCUGGCUGCCUCAGGUGGCAGAGUCUAGGAAGCGGCUGUGAGGGGUUGGAGACCAGAGGUGUCUGUGCCACACAAGGACUGAACCUUGACCUCCUGAACUAGCCUGCUGCUCUCAGGUGCAAUGGGAGAUUUAUUUAUUUCUUUAUCCAGUUUAUGCGCCUCCCUCCCUCCAAAAGGAGUCCAGGGUGGGACCAUCUCCAGCAGUGAUUCAACAGCUAGUCUAGUCAGCUUCUGAACAUGGAAAGGUGAGGGACGCCAUCUUGGUUUUUGCGGGAGCCCCCAAAGAGGGCACAGAUUCAUAUAACAUUUCCCUGGGCUGAUUUAUAUGCAUAGAUGCAUGUUCAGAAAGCUUGGGUGAAAUUCAGUAUGGCAUCAUGGAAUCAUUCCAUCAAUUUCUGCUUGCCAAACAGAAUGAUCUCCCCUGCGUGCUGUUCUGGGGGUUCUCCUGGCACUCCAGAGCAGUAUUGGGGGGUUGUGAAUGAGGGGAGCAGGGGGAAUCCCUGUUGCAUUAGCAGCAUCCAUGCUCUGGCUUCUGAUGGUGUGCCGGAUUAGUUGAAUCUAGCCCUAUUACUAUAAACAAACAAAUAAAUAAAAUACACUGCAUCUCACCAAAGUGGGGGUGCCUGCGACCCACUUAGCUGUUUGCCAGCCCUUACUCUCUUUUCUUAGGGUUCUUUUUGCUGAAACAGGACGUGGGACCAGGCAGCCCUACAAACAGAGGUCCUCUGCAAAGAUGGCCACCCUACCUCAAGCUGCAAAAUACAUUAGGGCAGUCCUCUCCUCUAAGGAACGCGGUAAGCACUGCAAACUUCUCAUGAUCAGGGUGAGGGGCAGAGAGCUCAAUGGAGCUAUGCAAGAUGUCUGGGGUGUCUGCUGGUGUGGUUUAAGCUGUGAGCCUCCACCCACGCUCAGCCCAUAAACUUGUAAAUAAAUGCAAAUAUUGCCAGAGAUUAGCCAGUCUGCAGUGAGUGCAUUCUGCAAGAAACUGAACCCUGGUAAUACAGCACUGGAAUCCCUGGGCCAUUGCUUGCUGGGGGUCUUGAGCCAUGCAUCGUGAUAGAUCAAUAAAACCCAAGGUUCCUGCACACAGAAAGUUACCCCAUAGGCCACAGAACUUGGAGGCGCAGUCGUAGAAGCCCAGGUUUGGGGGGGGGGGAUUUGUUUUGUUCUCUUUCUACCCGCUUUCCGGAAAACCAAGUCCUUUGGGGCCUGAUUCACUGGCUGUUCAUCCAGACACUAUGAAAUGAACCUGUGCCGACAGGCCUUUUUCUUACGGCAUCCUGAAGUCACCUUUUUAUUGUUCCCCAUCGCUUGUUUGUUGUGGUUACUCAUUUCAUGAGCGGCAAGGCUGUGAUAACUGAGAAUGUAUGACGCACAAACGUUGCCUCCCGAAGAAACCUAAUCGUUGCCACCCAUCCAGUAGGCAGCGUUUUGUAAGGCAGUUUUUAUCGUAGAUACAAGGGAUUCAUCUCUUUAUGUAGGCCAUAUCAUCAAAAGCAUUUUUUCCUCCUUGCUUUCCCUGAUCUUCCUCUGCUACUGUUCCCCAAACCGUUCCAUUUAUAAGUAUUUUUAAAACCACCUAAUAUUUUAAUACCUCCAAAUCACCAUCAUCCAUUAAUAGCCCUAUUUACAGUUGACGCAUUGAAAUUAAUAGACAUGGCUAGUUUACAUCCAUUAAUUUCAGUGAGAUGCAACAUAUUAUUAUUUUGUUUAUUUAUUUAUUUAUGUUUGUUUGUUUGUUUCCAACAUGAGGUCCUGGGGCAAUUUAAGAACACAGUAUUAAAAACAGUUUAAAACAAAUUACUGUUACAAGAAGAGGCAGAGGGCCAUAAAAACAGCCUGCAGACAAAAAAACCAGCAAAACGUUAUUAUAAACACAGAGAUUCGGUAGUAGCAAGGUCUGAUCUUAUGGGUCAUGGAGCCUGCACAAAAAGGGAUGUCUUUACAAGACCUCUGAAACAACUGAUGGAUGAUGUUUCACAGAAGGCAGAGGGAACAGCAUCCUAGAAUGCCACCCAGGCAACAGCAGAAAACAUCCAUUUUCAGGGCACUACCCUGAUGUUUAUAAAAAUAUCUGUAUACUGUUGCGUCAUUAAAAAUAUAUAUCAAACUGGUUUACAGCAAUAAAAACUUAAAACCGUACAAUACAAAUUCAUAUUAAAAGGCUAAGAGCAGACAUCAGUUAACCACUGUGGGCGAUGCGUUCUUAAUUGCCUGGCAGAACAGUAAAGUUUUCAGCGGGUGUUUAAAUGCGGGUCCUUGCUGAAUCUCUAGUGGCAGAGAGUUCCAUAGGGCUGGGCCAAUGACAUCAAAGGCUUGGUUCCUUUUCGUUGUCAAAUGAGCCUUGCUAACUCAGAGGACGCCCAGCGACGCUCUUGCAGAUUAUCUCAAUGCUCGAGCGACGAUAGAAGGGUUCAAGCGAUCCGUGAGGUUCCGCGGAACCACAUUGUGAAUUAAUUCAAGAAGCUUGAACCUGGCUCAGCAGCAAGUGGGCUUUGUAAAGGUAUAGAGUGCUAUGAGCAAAAAUUCCCCCCAGAGAUGAUCUAAGUCCAUCAGGGAACAACAGUGUCACAUCAGGGCCACCCCAUUCCUGGGACAGAUGCUGAGAAGAAUGACUACCUGAGGAUUUUGUGGCCAGACGCCAACCCCCUCUGUAGUUCAGGCCACAAAUCCACCAGUUACAUAGACCCCAUUCCUGUGGUCUUGUGGGGCCACAAGAAUCUGCCUUAUCCUGAGUCAUAGGUUGGUUGAUUUGACUCAGGGUUGCCUACAGGAACUUCAGCAUCUCUCCAGGGGUUCAGGCAAGGGACCAUCCUAGCCCUACCUGGAGAUGUUGCCGGUGAUUGAACCUAGGACUUUAUACAUGUGCAGCAGAUUCUCUGCCACUGAGCUAUACAGCUAUACAGCUAUACAGAAAGAGAGACUGAGGAUCUGGCAAGGAGGACGUUUUUCAUAUCUCCAGGCUGAAGGUUGUCCCUGGCGGGGUGGAACUCCUUUGUAAUAAAUGUAAAUCUGUCCUUAUUCCCUUAUGGGGGACACAAGAGCCCUUAUAGAGUCCUUUGCAGAUUCUCCAUUGGUCGGAGAAAAUAACAGAGGCUAACCAGAGAAUACUGAGAAGCAAAGCAGCUAGUAAGCCUGAUCUUUAUUGAACUGUUGCAACAGGGUGCAACAGGGUGUGUCCAUCCUUAUAUAGACAUUUUAAAUUGCCCAUCUUAGAGUCCAAGACCACCCCCAGAAACAUCAUACCUACAUCACAGAAGGGGUGUAGCUCAAGACCCCCCCCCCAGAUACAUCAUACCUACAUCACAGAAAAGGCGGUCUACAACCUCCUGUCUGGCAGGUUACCUGUUAACGCUUACUUGAUUGGAUACCCUGGGGAGCCUGGCCAGUCUUUUGUAAUUACAAAUACUUAGCUUCUGAGCCAGGUCACAGGCUCACCCUAUUCAUACACAGACAUACCCUUAAGACAGGAUUUGUGAACAAAAAGACAAUGGGGAGGCUCCCCCACCUCCUCCCUCCUUGCAGAGGAAACAUUUGAAAAUGGUUUCAGGGUGGUCCUCCUGUGCUGCUCCAGACAUGUGGUCCACGCAUCUAUGUAUGCGCUUGGUUGGUACAAUUAUGAACAUUUAUUAUGUAUAUAUAAGACCUUAAUUUUUUUAUUUCACCUUCCACAAAGGAGCUUUUCUCCAAGGGAAAACAAGGCCCUAUUGUUGUUGUUGUUGUUCUCCAGCAAUGCAAAGGUCCUCAAAAGACAGCACCUGAGCUCAGCCAGAGUGCACAACACCUUCUCUAGCACCCGCUCCCCGUUGCUGCAACAUCUGCUUUGAAACCGCUUGCGUUAAAAAAUAUAAGCCGUGUGUGUGUGUGUGUGUUGUGUGCAGGCUGAGUGCUUUGCAGCUCAGCACUUCCAAUUAUGAAAGAAGCUUCUGCCUCAGGGUCUUCAGGAACAAUUCACUACUAGAUAUCUGGGCUCCAAGUCAAGAACACCAGUCAGAGCAGCAGCAACAGCAGCAGCAGCAGCAGGGGAUAUAGCAGGACACAGAAACAAACCAGGAAG